rnacentral:misc_RNA from 1 species
UUGACGAAACGUUAUGCUAUAUAUGUAUGAAUUUGUAAAGAAGGGAACCUAAACCUCGGCGUUAAGGUUAUUGUGUCAUCUUUUUUAGAUUUAUUUGUACAGAAAAAAUAACAUUUACAGUGACUGAGACCCUGAGGUCAUAAAUUAAGAUGCCAAGGAAAAUGUCAAGAAAAGUCACUGGCCUCCUCAUUAGAAGCAGAAAGAACAUAAUGAAUGAUGGUUUCAUUACUUCUGGAAUAGGAGAACCAAGUGUAUAUCAUGCUGUCGUAGUCAUUUUUCUUGAAUUCUUUGCUUGGGGACUUCUGACAACUCCUAUGAUUACCGUUUUAAAUGAGACAUUUCCAGACCACACAUUUCUACUGAAUGGAUUAAUAGUAGGAGUCAAGGGAUUUUUAUCUUUCCUAAGUGCUCCAAUGAUAGGUGCAUUAUCAGAUGUCUGGGGAAGGAAAGCGUUUUUAUUGUUGACAGUCUUCUUCACAUGUUCACCUAUUCCAUUAAUGAGGAUUAAUACAUGGUGGUACUUUGCUAUGAUCUCAAUAUCGGGUAUAUUUGCUGUUACUUUUUCGGUUGUAUUUGCGUAUGUGGCAGAUGUGACAGAAGACCAUGAACGAAGUUCUGCAUAUGGUUUGGUUUCUGCCACAUUUGCAGCAAGCCUAGUCACAAGUCCUGCUCUAGGAGCCUACCUGUCACAGGUUUAUAGUGAUAAUCUAGUGGUGGUAUUAGCAUCUGCUAUAGCUCUUCUUGAUGUAGUCUUUAUUUUGGUCGCAGUACCAGAAUCUCUACCAGAGAAGCUAAGACCAUCGUCAUGGGGAGCUAACAUUUCAUGGGAAAAUGCUGAUCCUUUUUCUGCACUUAAGAAGGUUGGAAAAGAUCAAAUGAUUCUCAUGCUUUGUACAGCAGUAUUUCUCUCAUAUCUUCCUGAGGCAGGCCAAUACUCAUGUUUUUUCGUUUAUCUGAGAUUAGUCAUGGGAUUUUCAGCUGAAGAGGUUGCCUUAUUUAUUGCCAUUGUGGGUCUACUCUCUGUUGUGGCACAGACAAUUAUAUUGACGAUGUUGAUGAAAACACUGGGGAAUAAAAACACUAUUAUGAUUGGACUUUUCUUUGAAAUGUUGCAGUUAAUGUGGUAUGGUUUUGGCUCACAAAGGUGGAUGAUGUGGGCAGCUGGUGGUCUGGCAUCAUUAUGCAGCAUUACUUACCCUGCUAUUAGUGCCUUUGUUUCAACACAUGCAGAAGUUGACAAACAAGGUGUAGCUCAGGGAAUGAUAACGGGGAUGAGAGGAUUGUGUAAUGGCUUAGGACCAGCUGUCUAUGGUUUCAUCUUUUAUCUAUUCCACGUGGAUCUAAAUGAUGAAGCCAACUUGGAAAAAUCGGUCAUUAAUACUCAGAACAGAAUUUCCUCCAAUAUCACUUACAUUCUAAAUCCGGAAGACACACAGCUGGUUCCUGGGCCACCGUUUGUGUUUGGAGCUUUCCUGGUAAUGUUAGCCCUACUGGUUGCUGCCUUCAUUCCUGAGUCUCACCCACUUGGCAACAGUAUUCGCUGUCCCUCACAUCAUCGACAUUCUUCUCUUUCUGCAGCUACAAACUCCAGUGUGAGCUCCGAAGGUCCAUUUCUUAAUGAUGUAGUUCAUAAGCGAACAGAUGGAAUGCAACCACUUUUACAUGAUACAGAACCUUUAUAACCAGUCAUUUUUCCUAUUGCAAAUAAUUUUUCUGUACUGUUCUUACUUCAGAAAUUGUAUUCGGAGAAACGAAAGAAGGCUGCACUGUACAUAGUAUAGAAUUAUAAAAAAAUUUAAAGGAUAGAUGUGGCUUUGGAAUUACAAAUUCUUUUAUGAAGAUGGUGUAUAUAUAUAUAUAUAUAUAUAUAUAUAU